rnacentral:tRNA from 1 species
GCCUAGAUGGCUUAGUCAGUUGAGCGUGUGACUUCAGCUCAGAUCGUGAUCUCAAGGUUCGUGGGUUCAAGCCCCACAUUGGGCU